rnacentral:rRNA from 1 species
AGCAGCCGCGGUAAUUCCAGCUCCAAUAGCGUAUAUUAAAGUUGUUGCAGUUAAAAAGCUCGUAGUUGAAUUUCGGGAUCAAAUUGUCGGUCGUGCCUCGGUACGCACUGGUAUUAUUGGUUCCUACCUUCUGAAGAACCGCGAUGUCAUUAAUUUGGUGUCGUGGGGAAUCAGGACUGUUACUUUGAAAAAAUUAGAGUGUUUAAAGCAGGCUUACGCUUGAAUACAUUAGCAUGGAAUAAUGAAAUAGGACGUUUGAUUCUAUUUUGUUGGUUUCUAGGAUUGACGUAAUGAUUAAUAGGGAUAGUUGGGGGCAUUAGUAUUCAAUUGUCAGAGGUGAAAUUCUUGGAUUUAUUGAAGACUAACUACUGCGAAAGCAUUUGCCAAGGAUGUUUUCAUUAAUCAAGAACGAAAGUUAGGGGAUCGAAGACGAUCAGAUACCGUCGUAGUCUUAACCAUAAACUAUGCCGACUAGGGAUCGGAUGAUGUUAAUUUUUAAUGACU